rnacentral:rRNA from 1 species
UACAGAGGUCUCAAGCGUUGUUCGGAUUCAUUGGGCGUAAAGGGUGCGUAGGUGGCGGGGUAAGUCUGGUGUGAAAUCCCGGGGCUCAACCCCGGAACUGCACUGGAUACUGCUUUGCUAGAGUACUGGAGAGGGAACUGGAAUUUACGGUGUAGCAGUGAAAUGCGUAGAUAUCGUAAGGAAGACCAGUGGCGAAGGCGAGUUCCUGGACAGUUACUGACACUGAGCACGAAGGCCAGGGAGCAAAGCGGG